GCCCAGACUCCUACGGGAGGCAGCAGUGGGGGAUAUUGCACAAUGGGGGGAACCCUGAUGCAGCGACGCCGCGUGGGUGAAGAAGCGCCUCGGCGCGUAAAGCCCUGUCAGCAGGGAGGAAAAUGACGGUACCUGAAGAAGAAGCCCCGGCUAACUACGUGCCAGCAGCCGCGGUAAUACGUAGGGGGCAAGCGUUAUCCGGAUUUACUGGGUGUAAAGGGGGCGCAGACGGCGAUGCAAGCCAGGAGUGAAAGCCCGGGGCCCAACCCCGGGACUGCUCUUGGAACUGCGUGGCUGGGGUGCAGGAGGGGCAGGCGGAAUUCCUGGUGUAGCGGUGAAAUGCGUAGAUAUUAGGAGGAACACCAGUGGCGAAGGCGGCUUGCUGGACGAUGACUGACGUUGAGGCUCGAAAGCGUGGGGAGCAAACAGGAUUAGAUACCCCCGUAA
rnacentral:rRNA from 1 species